rnacentral:rRNA from 1 species
UACAGAGGUCUCAAGCGUUGUUCGGAUUCAUUGGGCGUAAAGGGUGCGUAGGCGGCGCGGUAAGUCGGAUGUGAAAUCUCGGAGCUUAACUUCGAAACUGCAUUCGAUACUGCCGUGCUUGAGGACUGGAGAGGAGACUGGAAUUUACGGUGUAGCGGUGAAAUGCGUAGAUAUCGUAAGGAAGACCAGUGGCGAAGGCGGGUUGCUGGGCUGACACUGACGCUGAUGUGCGAAAGCUAGGGGAGCGAACGGG